AGUUAAAAACUUAAAGAAAGUAUUAUGUUUUGAAAGCAUAAUAAAGAAGUUUAAUUCUUCUAUUAACUU
rnacentral:tRNA from 1 species